AGGCGCAGCAUAGCGGGGCUGACGGCCGAGGAGAAGCGGGAGGAUGACGACGCCGCCAUGGGGGGACAGAGGAAAGGGGAUGAAGAAACCCUAGAGAAUUGGCCGAGGAAGCUAGAAUUCUGCUGCUGUAAAGCGAGAGCGAGUUGAAGAAGAAACGGAAGUUGUGAGUGUAGAGUGUAGAGUGUAGAGUGUAGAGUGAUGACUGGUAGGGUUUAUUUAUGACAGGACCUGCGUUGAUAGCGAGGAUCUAUGGGGGCGGUGCAACAUGGGCCGGUUGGGCUUGUGUUAACGGGAGAAUGGACAUAUGUCUCUCGUGGGCCUCCUCUUUUGAAGACGCAGCUUGCAAUAACAUCUGAGCCAAAAGUAUUUUUUCUAUUUUUUUACAAAGUAAAAUUGUUUAGCAUUCCAAUUCUAUGAUGAGUGUUUUCACCUUUAGAGGAUUCUAAAUUAUUCCUGCACUGUUGAAAGCAUUGUCUGUUCCCCAACAACUGAUGCCGGGAACUUACUGAAACACUAUAGAGGACAGAAAGCUGCAUUUGUCGAUAUGACUUCAGAGUUGC
rnacentral:lncRNA from 1 species